rnacentral:rRNA from 1 species
ACAGGGAUUGCCUUAGUAACGGCGAGUGAAGCGGCAACAGCUCAAAUUUGAAAGCUGGCUCCUUCGGAGUCCGCAUUGUAAUUUGUAGAGGAUGAUUCGGCGAGGGCUCCCGCCUAAGUCCACUGGAACGUGGCGUCAUAGAGGGUGAGAAUCCCGUAUGCGGUGGGUUGCCUUAGCCAUGUGAAUCUCCUUCGACGAGUCGAGUUGUUUGGGAAUGCAGCUCUAAAUGGGAGGUAAAUUUCUUCUAAAGCUAAAUACCGGCCAGAGACCGAUAGCGCACAAGUAGAGUGAUCGAAAGAUGAAAAGCACUUUGGAAAGAGAGUUAAAAAGUACGUGAAAUUGUUGAAAGGGAAGGGCUUGCAACCAGACUUGUCCGCAGUUGCUCAGCCGGUCUCCUGACCGGCGUACUCUUCUGCGGCCAGGCCAGCAUCAGUUCGGGCGGUCGGAUAAAGACCUAGGGAAUGUAGCUCCUCUCGGGGAGUGUUAUAGCCCUGGGUGGAAUGCGGCCAGCCUGGACUGAGGAUCUCGCUUCGGCAAGGAUGCUGGCGUAAUGGUUGUAAGCCGCCCGUCUUGAAACACGGACCAAGGAGUCUAACAUCUAUGCGAGUGUUUGGGUGUCAAACCCAUACGCGUAAUGAAAGUGAACGGAGGUGGGAACCCGCAAGGGCGCACCAUCGGCCGAUCCUGAUGUCUUCGGAUGGAUUUGAGCAAGAGCAUAGCUGUUGGGACCCGAAAGAUGGUGAACUAUGCCUGAAUAGGGUGAAGCCAGAGGAAACUCUGGUGGAGGCUCGCAGCGGUUCUGACGUGCAAAUCGAUCGUCAAAUUUGGGUAUAGGGGCGAAAGACUAAUCGAACCAU